UACAUUUGCCAUGCUAAUUUUUAGCAGGAAUUUUAGCUUAUAAUUAUGUAUUCAAUUGCCUUAAUAUCCCAUAAACACAUUUUAAAUGGCACUUUACACCAUUCUUUUUGGAAUGAGCAUAUUUUUAAUAGCGUUGGUGUCAGCUAUAAUCAAGAAAAUGUUCUUUCAUUGGAAAGAGGAGCACAAAAUCGAAACAAUGAUGGUGCCUACUUAUAUGGAACAUCCCACGGUCAGUGUUAUAAUAAUAUGCGACAAGUGCGUAUUCCGCCGUCGUACGUUUGCCGAUAAUCUGUCCGUCUUCGAU